CCAUUCCACUAGAGGUGCUGUUGUGAACAGCUGAGAUUGAAGUAAACUUCGGGACUCUUAUGACCUGAUCUAGUUAAUACUAGCGGAGGCAAGUGAUUUGGGCACAGC
rnacentral:ncRNA from 2 species